AUGAACGCUGGCGGCGUGCCUAAUCCAUGCAAGUCGAGCGAACAGACGAGGAGCUUGCUCCUCUGACGUUAGCGGCGGACGGGUGAGUAACACGUGGAUAACCUACCUAUAAGACUGGGAUAACUUCGGGAAACCGGAGCUAAUACCGGAUAAUAUAUUGAACCACAUGGUUCAAUAGUGAAAGACGGUUUUGCUGUCACUUAUAGAUGGAUCCGCGCCGCAUUAGCUAGUUGGUAAGGUAACGGCUUACCAAGGCAACGAUGCGUAGCCGACCUGAGAGGGUGAUCGGCCACACUGGAACUGAGACACGGUCCAGACUCCUACGGGAGGCAGCAGUAGGGAAUCUUCCGCAAAGGGCGAAAGCCUGACGGAGCAACGCCGCGUGAGUGAUGAAGGUCUUCGGAUCGUAAAACUCUGUUAUUAGGGAAGAACAAAUGUGUAAGUAACUAUGCACGUCUUGACGGUACCUAAUCAGAAAGCCACGGCUAACUACGUG
rnacentral:rRNA from 1 species